ensembl:lncRNA
GUCUUCUGUCACAGCAUGGGCAAUAUGGAAAUAUGUGUUGCAUGAAAGCACUGAUAUAACCUAUAUCAGGCUAUUGCCUUGGAAAGAGUAGGAAGGAAGGAGGGAGGAGGUGGAGCCGGCCGAGGAGCGGAGCCAAUAGAAUGCCGACUCCGCGGCUGUUUCUAGGGGGUUGCCAUAAACAACAGCGUGGUGGCAGAGUAAUAAUAGUAAUAAUGGGGACUCGGGGCCCGACACCCCCGAGAUGCCGGCCGGUGGUUUCCUCUCUGACGAACGAAGUUCUCGGAACGUGACCCAGAAACGAGCCGGGCUGCGGAGCUCUGGUCAGCCCCCAUCCCUUGGAGAGGACAGUUAGGAGGGCAGCGGAUGCUGCCUGGGGGAGCUCCGGGCUAGGAUCUUGGCCAGGACUCGAGGAGAAGCGGAGUCCAAAAAUGCCUCCACAGCCCGAACUCGUUAGGGGGGCGCUUGGAGCGCGGCACACGCGCACACACCCUUCCCUCGGAGCUGAGCCUCGUCUUCUUUUGUUUUUCUCUGUUCCUGGUCAUAAGACCCGGAAGUUUGGGGUUCCCCCCUCCUCCUCCCCCCUUCUGUCUCUCUCUUUUCCUCCCCCUAAAUCUAUCACAUGGCCGAGAUGUAAUAAAAACAGAAAAAUGGCGACGGUCACGUUGUGGCGCGCCUUGCUGCGUCAUUAAAUAACCUUCGGGCAAAUAUCGGGAAGAACAAAGGGACAGGGGGGCCCGGAGCCCUCGGGGAGCGCAGGUGGGUUAGGGGGUGCUGGCCGGGGAGCGACCCGGGGGCGCUGUGCGCGGGGCUCUCCGUGUGGCUGCGCGCGCCUGGCUGGGUGUGUGCGUGCGGGCGUGUGUGUGUGUUUACGCACACGCGCGCGCCCGUGGGGCUCGCCAGGCUUUGCGUUCCGGCGGGGACAAGAGCCCGGGUGCGGCCCGCGCUCGCUCUUGGGCCGCCCGGGGCUUUAGGGCUGGAGGAUUGGGCCGCGCAGCACAGCGCAGUUCAACCCGCUCCGCGCUGCACCCAUCGCCGGCUCUUCCCGUGCGCGCACACGCUCUCCCGCGCGCGCGCACACACAUACACACAUACACACCCUCCCGGGGCGGUUGCGCCGGGGGCGGGGACGUGUGUCUAUGUCUGUGCGUUGCGUUUUGUGGCGUUGCGUUGUGUUGUGUUGUGCCGGCGGCUCACCGGACAGCGCGCCCAGCCUGGGAUCCGGCGGGAGGAGUCUUCGAGGAGGGGCCGAGGAGGAGGAGCGGGGGGCAGGAGAAGGAAGACGCGAGUGAGUCCCCGCGGUCACCAGCGCGGCCACCAGCGCAGCCACCGCGGCCGGGGCCGCCGCGCAGCUGGGCUCGGCGCCAAGCAGACGAGCCGGGAUCUCGCCCCGCACGCUUGGCCGGACCGACAGACGGACGGAGCGGACAGACUGGGCUGGGCCCCCGGGUCCGGCCGGAAUCACAGACCGGGAGCUCGAAGCGACCCCGAGGCCCCCGGCAGAAACUGGCUCCGGCACAGAGCUCCAGGCUAGGAAUCUUCCCGGUUUCCAACCUGACCUCAGAUCCUUCCUAG